rnacentral:lncRNA from 7 species
GUGGGCGGUGACGCGGCCGGGCCGGGCCGGGAGCACUGGGCGGAGAUGUUGGCCAACCCGCGGACGCCCAUCGAGCAGUGGCACCCCCUGGUGGAGGAGAAGGCCCUGGCGCUGCCCAAAGCGCCCGCGAGGGAAAAAGGCGUCGGGGGAGAAAACCACUGAGCCAUACUGGGAGCACUGGCGCUGCAACCCCACAGCGAAGCCAUAAUAGGGGCGCCCCCCCCCCCCCACUGUGAACCCCAAAAGGACCCCAAAAUUGGGGGGGGGGCGGCGACCCCCGGGGGGGGGGGAGGGGAAAAGGGGGGGGGACCCCAAAAGGGUGUGGGACCCCCCCAAAAAUGCCCACUGUGUGUAUGGGGGACCCCAAAAACCCCAUUAAAUGUAUGGGGGACCCCAAAACCCCAUUGUCUGUAUGGGGACCCCAAAAACCCCAUUGUCUGUAUGGGGACCCCAAAAACCCCAUUGUGUGUAUGGGGGACCCCAAUAAACCCUAUUGUGUGUAUGGGGGACCCCAAUAACCCCAUUGUGUGUAUGGAGGACCCCAAUAAACCCUAUUGUGUGUAUGGGGGACCCCAAAAACCCCAUUAAAUGUAUGGGGACCCCAAUAAAUCCCAUUGUCUGUGUGGGGACCCCAAAAACCCCAUUGUGUGUAUGGGGGACCCCAAUAAACCCUAUUGUGUGUAUGGGGGACCCCAAUAACCCCAUUGUGUGUAUGGAGGACCCCAAUAAACCCUAUUGUGUGUAUGGGGGACCCCAAAAUCCCCAUUAAAUGUAUGGGGACCCCAAAAACCCCAUUGUGUGUAUGGGGGACCCCAAUAACCCCAUUGUGUGUAUGGAGGACCCCAAUAAAUCCCAUUGUCUGUGUGGGGACCCCAAAAACCCCAUUGUGUGUAUGGGGACCCCAAUAAAUCCCAUUGUGUGUAUGGGGGACCCCAAUAAACCCUAUUGUGUGUAUGGGGACCCCAAAAACCCCAUUAAAUGUAUGGGGGACCCCAAAAACCCCAUUGUCUGUGUGGGGACCCCAAAAACCCCAUUAAGUGUAUAUGGGGGACCCC